GCAGUCUGAAACUCGAGUGCAUGAAGCUGGAAUCGCUAGUAAUCGCAAAUCAGAAUGUUGCGGUGAAUACGUUCCCGGGUCUUGUACACACCGCCCGUCACACCAUGGGAGUUGGAAAUGCCCGAAGUCAGUGACCCAACCUAAGGGAGGGAGCUGCCGAAGGCAGGUUCGAUGACUGGGGUGAAGUCGUAACAAGGUACC
rnacentral:rRNA from 1 species